CUCGGUGUUUCUAGCGACAGAGGUACACCCGAUCCCUUCCCGAACUCGGCAGUUAAGCCUGUCAGCGCCGAUGGUAGCUCUUACGAGCAAGAGUAGGUCAAUGCCGAGA
rnacentral:rRNA from 1 species